rnacentral:misc_RNA from 1 species
AAAUCAGGCGAUGUUGAAAUAUCUCCCGAGACUAAAAUCAUGGCAUUUCUGAUUCACAUUUUCCUAUUCCAGCCCCUUCAACCAUGAAAAACACGAGAACAAUUUCUGUUUUCAGGCUGGACAAUGUUAGAUCAUCACACAGUUACUUCAUAAACAAACCAACUGAACAAGUUUUACCCUAUUGCCUCCAACUGUGACUUGGAUCAUUCAACUCUGCCACCAUUGUUGAGCACUUCGCUUUUCCCUCACUCAUUCUAUGUGAGGGUGUGUUAAUAUCUAAAUGUCUUGUCUCAUCAGUGUGGAUCAGUUUCCGGCAGCAGUGUCAUUUCUGAACUGUUCUACCUGCGGAGGAAGGAGAAGUGCCAGCCUGGUUUUGUAUCUUGCAAUUCGCUUCAACCUUCCUUCCCUUAAACUACAAAGCAAACACAAAUAUUGUUUCACUUGUGUUAUAAUUACACAGCCAAAACCUUGCUUCAUGCUUACUGGGAAAUCCGAGUCAUAUUGAAAUAAUGAAGCAUUGAGAUGCCAUUCAAGAUUUAAAUAAAACUUCUGAGUAGUUUUUAGAUAAAUCACAAAUGCACCAAUAGGUGAAGAAAGAAGCUUACCGUGCCCGAACCUUUUUAGCGCGCUUAAUAUGUCUCUUUAAGAGAUCUUGUGCAGAUAAAUGAUCAACAGACUGCUCAUCCUUCUCAUCAUCUUCUACUUCUUCUCCUUCCUUCUUUGGCGAAUGAGUGCCUAAAACAUGCAUAGGUAAAGGUCUUGGAAGAGACUUUACAACAUCCCCAUAGUGUGGCUGACUUUCCUCAUGAAAUCCAUUUCUCAACCAUGAUCGACAAAGUGCAUAAAUAGAAGCCUCAUCUGAUAUUUUUACUUUUCGAUCCCUAAUCACAGUAAGAGUAUCAUCUCUGCUUCUGUCCCUUAAACUUUUAUAGACAUUAGAAUCAGAAACUGGUGAUGGAGAUGAAGCAGCCUUGAGUUGCCCAGCAACCGGAAUUCCCUUAAUCGGAGCCAAUCCGACACCAACGGAACCACUUAAAUAAUGCUGCUGCUGCUGCUGAUGUUGCAAGUGAGUUGGGUGCUGUCUAAUCAUGUGCACGGGAUGAUGAAAAGAAGGAUGAGGAUGUUGCGCCAAUCCAGAAUCCAAAUGAGGAUGAGACCGUGGAGAACCGGUGCCAGCUCCCGAAGCAGACGCGGAACCAGACCCAAUUGGAGUUCUAUAAGCAACUCCAACAGCACGUGGUUGGUACGCGCCAGGGGUAAGGUUUUGGUUAUUAGCCAGGGUAACGGUCUGAUCUAGAGGGCGGAUAGGCCUGGGGAUGAAACCGCGGCCAGAGGAAGCAACUGGGUAGAGAAUCCCCUGUUGUUGCUGAGACGAUGAAAUUGGAUUUGAAAUUUGGGUUUUUGCUUGGGUUUGGGUUUGGGGUCUAAUUUGAAUGUUUUGAGAUGCGUAGUAGUGGUAAAGUGGGAAUGGAGAAGCGUGGGGAGUUUGAGGCCUUGAGGGGGACUUAACGGUUGCAGCAGCAGUAGUAGUGGUGGUGGUGGAGGCGAAGGGACGUGUAGUGGUGGUGGCGGCGGAGGCUGUGGAGGAUGGAAGAUUAGAAGUGGUGGCCAUGGGGUAGGGCGGUGGCGGGGAAUUUGGAGGGUUUUUGUGAGUUUGUUUUGAA